rnacentral:lncRNA from 1 species
CAUGAGGAACAUCUGCUUCCUGUCUUGCGUGAGAGUGUGGGACGGGGCUCGGGGUCUCGAAGCAUGUCUUCAGACUAAAUCGGAGCUGGCAACUCAUAGGACGACAUCAUCCUUCUGCUGUGUCCGGCUGUGCUCAAAGCUCGGUUUUCAACAUUUUUUCUUGGAGUUUCAUGGACUGUGCACGGAAGUUCGGAGGAUUUUGAAACUGUAACCUUAAGCCUUUCUGGGGGAUUAGUGUAGGCCCUGAUCAAAUGGGGAAAAUAUGAAUGAGACCGGGACAGUCAUCUCUGGCCCCACACAAGUGCUUUUUGUCUCUUUCCCUCCCUUGCUCCCUUCCUUCUCUUCCUCUUUUGUUCUUGACAGUGCAAUUUUGGCUUUGUUUGUAGCUUAGUCCUCCCUCAACUGACCUAAAGAUCUGUGAAAAACCACAGCUCUGGCUUCCCCUUCCUGUUUCCUGGGCUGCUGCUGCACCAAGCCCUGUAGAAGGAACUCUGAUCCGGCAGCUUAGGUCCACAGGAAGAGCCUGCGUCAGCAUCAGCAGACCUGCCUGCACGUCUCCUCUCUCACCUACGUUUCACCUUCCUCGUGUGCCAGAUGUGCAGACAGCGCCAGCCCUCCUCCCCAGCAAGGGCUGCUGUGAAGACGAAAGGCGAUCCUGGAGAGGCGAGGGUUUCGCCAACCAUCCGAGGCUGUGUAAUGCUGUGGUUACCCCUCCAAGUCAGAGCUCUUACCUGCACAGUGAAGUGGAGGACGAAGACUUCCGGCGUGCAAAGGAAAGAGGGACUAAGCCCCAGCAGACCUCAGGAGAAGGAAACCUCCUGGCUACUUUGGCACAUGUCCACAGUCAGUCUAAGAGAAGCAAGCUGA